rfam:Danio rerio unplaced genomic contig NA270, GRCz11 reference primary assembly.
AACCACAGCCAUAUCACCCUGCUGCACAAGACCGUUUACUCAUUGAAGCUAAGCAUGGCUGAGCCUGUUCAGUACCAGGAUGGGAGACCACAUAGGAAAACUAGGUUGCUGUUAGAA